CUUGCGGUCAUACUGAGCAGAACUUUAUGGGGAUUCGCCCUGCAGACUGUAUAAAGGUGACCCAGUCACUAGAUGUAGAGUUGCUUAUUCUUAACAGGGGACAAGCUGUGUGUGUUCAAAGCAACUUCAACCUAAUUUCUGAUCCGUGCUUGACAACUUAAGCUGUAGAACAGAGGUUCCCAACCUGGUCCACAGACCACCAGUGGUCCACAUGCUUCAUUUAGGUGCUGUAUGGUGUGUCUGUGAAAACGCAAUUUAAAACAGCACAGUGCCUUACAAUUGGUACAACAGGCAGAAAAAUCAUGAAGCGGUCUGCUAAAAAUCCUCAAAGUUUUUAAGUGGUAAAAGCCACUCCAGAAAAGCUUCCAACUGGCUGACUCUUCCAGCAGGAGAAAAUACAUAACUGUCUCAUAUUAUUGGCAUUUUCAUGUUCUUAAAGGGAAGCUGGUUCAUUGCAUUUUGUGUCCAACUUAUACAGUGUGAUGUUGCCAAAAUGAAAAACCCUUGGCGCUGACUUCUUAGCUGUGUUAGGUUCCCCCAGUAGUUUUCUUUCUCAUCCUUCUUUCCACAUUUUAGAAAUUCAUUUUUUUUAUAUCCAUGAUAGUAGUCUUCCUCUAUAACUUGUUUGGUAUUGAAGGGUUGUUAUUAUUCUUAGCAAGAUAUCUUAAGCUCAUAUUUGUACACAAUGGCAAGCUUCAAAAUGUAACAAUCUCAAUCUGAUAAACCAAGUUUUCGGGGCCUGAAAAUGUACCUUUUUGCCUACUCACCACAUCCUUAUUCCUUCUUUUCUCACACCUUCCGCUUUGGCAGUUAUGAUUUGUUUUUGCCACAGUUUUCUGUUGUAUCUGAAUUGGGAAACAAUGGUUUGCAAGCAGGGAUUGAACAAGCACAUCAAAGUAGGGCUGAGCACUUCAGGCACAAGGAGUUUAAUCAACCCAAUAAACCAUCAUUUAUUGGCUCAAAACCAGACAGAAUAAUAUUUCAACAGUGGACAAAGACAAAAAGAUCAUGCACUAUAAAUGUAAUGCACCACAACAUAUAUUAUGGGCAUUAAAGCAGAUCAGGAUGGAAUCAAGUCUUAACUAUAGUUUUUUGGGACAAGAGCAUUAAGUCUGAAAUGGAACAAUGUUUGUUUCGCGUCUUCUAUAGCUUUUGUUGUUCCAGCACUUUUUUGUUUCCAAGUAGGCCUAGAGGCAUAACUUGAUGCAGUGGAAUCUUCACGUUGGCUUCUGGAAAUACUGUAAAGUUACAUAGUGUUGUCUUAUUUGAGCAGCCCAAACUGCCAGGUCAUGACAUAUUUUUAAAAAAUCAUUACUAUUCAAAUUUUGGGCUAUAAAUAUCAAAACUCCAGGUUGGCUAACAAAACAAGAGCAGCACAUAAUUGUACCAAAUUUUUAAAGUUCACUAUUAAAGAAACCCAAAUUAGUUAUCAGCAAUCAGAGCAGCAUUAACAAGAAAAACACUGUAAACUAUUUUGCAAGAAUGAUCCUGUGGUUUUUCUCUCUCUGUGUGUGCAACCAGCUUAGUUUAUAAAACAGUAGAAUGGAAAUCUAAUCUCGUUGACAGUGCCUUAGAGUAAAAGCCAAGCUCUGAGGGGGCAAAAAGAA